GUACUGCAAAUGUUAAGGUGGACA
rnacentral:siRNA from 1 species